rnacentral:tRNA from 1 species
UCCGAUGUAGCUCAAUGGUAGAGCAAUCGGCUGUUAACCGGUUGGUUGCUGGUUCGAGUCCAGCCAUCGGAG